rnacentral:tRNA from 1 species
GGGGAUGUAGCUCAAUAGUAGAGCACUUGCCUAGCAUGCAAGAGGCCUUAUUCAAUCCCCA